UCACAUGUAAACAGCAGCUCAUGUAGUGUAGAUGUCCAGUCAACAAGGAUGUAGCGAGGUUGACUGUCCAGGCGACACACGUACUUAGGUAUCGUCAUGAGCUAAUGUUCACAUGUAAACAGCAGCUCAUGUAGUGUAGAUGUCCAGUCAACAAGGAUGUAGCGAGGUUGACUGUCCGGGCGACAUACGUACUUAGGUAUCGUCAUGAGUUAAUGUUCACAUGUAAACAGCAGCUCAUGUAGUGUAGAUGUCCAGUCAAGAUAGAUCUAAAACUA